AACACUUAAAAUUUUUAAUGACAUAAAUAGCUUAUAGUAGUCUAUUUCACUAAAUAAACGAUCUAGCAUUAGUUGUCGUAGCUCUUAUAUUAUGUGUGCCAUGUAUUAAUCAGUUUCUUCUAUAGUGUACAUGUGUUUUUCUUGCACUUAAACAAACAGUUCGUCUCAAAUUUGACUAGAAAAAUUUUGCUUCAUCUAUCUAUUAUGCUAAAACAAUUCAACUUUGCCACAUGGCCCUAUUCUUGGCCAAUCAAUUGGGUGAUGUGGACACCACUUUAUAAAUCAACCACCAAGUUAACUCUGGGUGUGGUUUGCCUGCUUUCUAUGAAGGUCUCCACGGAGCAAUCACCCGCACUGUGAGCUUGGUAGUUUGAAUUCGAAUAUUCGAUACUCUUUUGAGUUUCAAAUGCGAUUUUAAAUUUUGUUGAGUUUGCAGGCCGGCCCGCAUGGAAGGAGGACCGAAAUUACUUGCACUGCUUGUGGAGGACACUUAGGCCAUGUGUUUAAAGGUAUGUUCAAAUCAUGAUCUUCUCAUUGUUCAUAUAGCAAUAGAAUCGGAUGAUCAUUAUCAACAACAACACACCGCAAUUUGAGAAAAAAAACCCAAAAGAAAACCUAACAACUAGGAGUUGCAACUGCCUGAGGAGGUGGGACCGGAUACUAUCAUAGGCGUUGGAUGCUUUAAACUUGGCAAAUGGUAAUGGAUGUUGAAAACCACAAUCAUAUGCAAAUGGUAAAGGUAUUUUUACAAUUUUUAAUUUCUUAUUUCUAUGUGACAAGUUGGUUAUCUUUUUAAAAUUAUAUCUACAACAUUCUUUUGCUAAUACCUCCAUUAUUGAAGACCUUGAAUUUGAAGACAAAAUGCCAUUUGAAAAAUCAGGAAAUCCUAUAAUUCAUCAGGUCAAUUUCUUUUUGUCAUUAUUUAUUAUAUAUCUUGAAAUGUUUGGAAUGAUAUCCUACUGAGCCAAAUAUGAUAAAAAUGUGAGAUAUUAUUGUAUGUAACUACUAAGCCAAAUAUGAUUUAAUUUAUGUUUAUGACAUUUUUGGUGGCUUUCAGUUCGUUUGACCCGUAUCAUUUUUAUGUUUUUUUUUACUCUUACCCAUUGGAAAUUUAAGAUAAUCGGGUCGACCCAUUCUGUAAACGUUAACAUAAGCAAUCCAUAACGAUGGUUAGUGAUUAGAUUGGAUUAUUGAAGCUAAUCUAACUCAGCCAAACACAUUCUAUAGUUCAAUUUUAGGUUUAAAGGACUAAUAAUUUCAAAACAUUGUUUAAUUUAAUUAAGUACUUGGUUUAAAAGAA